rnacentral:lncRNA from 1 species
UGAAACCCCAGCUAUAAAUCUCACCGCAAAACUCAAAACUCACUGCAAAACCCCAGCUAUAAAUCUCACCUCUGAAACCGCCCUUCUUAUAUCACUGCAAAUCAACCCAAAACUCAAAACAAACAAUCAUCAACCUACUCAGCUUUCUCUCUCUAUAUCUAUACAUAUAUACACACAAGCACAGGUGUUUAGUAUAUAGUGCUUGGUCCUCAAUCAUUUAGAAGUAC